rnacentral:rRNA from 1 species
UCUGGUCUUGGGACACUGUCAGGUGGGCAGUUUGACUGGGGCGGUCGCCUCCCAAAAGGUAACGGAGGCGCUCAAAGGUUCUCUCAGUACGGUCGGAAAUCGUACGUAGAGUGUAAAGGCAAAAGAGAGCUUGAUUGCAAGACAUACAGGUCGAGCAAGGAUGAAAAUCGGACUUAGUGAUCCGGUGGUUCUGCGUGGAAGGGCCAUCGCUCAACGGAUAAAAGCUACCCUGGGGAUAACAGGCUUAUCUCCCCCAAGAGUCCACAUCGACGGGGAGGUUUGGCACCUCGAUGUCGGCUCAUCACAUCCUGGGGCUGUAGUAGGUCCCAAGGGUUGGGCUGUUCGCCCAUUAAAGUGGUACGCGAGCUGGGUUCAGAACGUCGUGAGACAGUUCGGUCCCUAUCCGUCGCAGGCGUAGGAAAUUUGAGAAGCCCUGUCCUUAGUACGAGAGGACCGGGAUGGACGUACCUCUGGUGUACCAGUUGUCCUGCCAAGGGCAUGGCUGGGUAGCUAUGUACGGAAUGGAUAAGCGCUGAAAGCAUCUAAGCGCGAAGCCAAC